rnacentral:rRNA from 1 species
UACGUAGGGGGCUAGCGUUGUCCGGAAUCAUUGGCGUAAAGAGCGUGUAGGCGGCUCGGUAAGUCCGCUGUAAAAGUCAAAGGCUCAACCUUUGAAUGUCAGUGGAUACUGCCGGGCUAGAGUCCGGAAGAGGCGAGUGGAACUCCUGGUGUAGCGGUGGAAUGCGCAGAUAUCAGGAAGAACACCAACGGCGAAGGCAGCUCGCUGGGCCGAUACUGACGCUGAGGAGCGAAAGCGUGGGGAGCGAACAGG